CAGUUUGGGAGCUGUGUGCAAGACAUAAAUGCAGAUUCAGCUAGCACAGCUCUGGUUGCCUGCUGUGUAGCACUUUCCCUGUCUGGCCAGACAGUCAUUAAUGCAGAGAGAGGCAGAGAGAACCACUAAUACUUUGAGUGGAGAUACAAUCCGGUAAAGUAAGAUAAAGGCUUGGAAGAGCAAACACAAAAGCACAUGGGAAGAAAUAAUUGGCUGCCAAAAAAUACUCUAAGCUGUGCUCAUGGCCAGCUCUCAUAACACCUGGCCUUCCUGCAAUCCCUUGACCUAAACUUGCCAUCACAUUUUCCAGUCUUGGCCAUGUUUGCAUCUUCCAGACGAAGUUCAUGGGAGCAUAAGUUCCAUAAAACAACAAAGGGCCCACCAAGAUCAUCGGAAGGAGUCCCACUGAAGGAUAUGGAAUUCAAAAGUCCGAACACCUUUGUUCCUUGGACUGUUAUUGGCAAUCCUGAACGUGGAAGGACCUCAGCAGAUCCAGGGGCAGAGCUCCUAGGGAGAGUUCUUCCACUCUUGGUGCCCAGUGUUGGCAAGUGUACUUGGCUGAUGUUAUGUCCUCCACCCUGGCCUCCUUCCAAAACAACAGGCUCUGUUUAUGAGAUGAUCCAUCAGGUUGUCUCAGAGUCUCCACUGAGCCCUUCAGCAACCGGAGGCAUUCCAGCAGCUCAAAUUCUGAAAGUCCUUCAGCCCCAUCAAGGCCAGAUGAAUGUUUACACAAAAUGAUGACUCCAGCUGUUAAGAGAAACUCAGCAAUUCCUGAGAAAAACUUCCUAUCUGGAAGCCACAAAAUACAAGGUCAAGAUGUUUUGCACAGGUUGAUGUCAUCAGAUGCACAAAACUUCAACAAUCUCUGGAAGAGUUGAGAGUGACUACUACCCAGCUGUCGAAGUGCAUCAUAAGAAGAAACUUCUUUUGAAACCAUGCCCUUAGCCAGUGGAAAUUAUCAGACUUUAAUCCACCCCAGCAAAUCAAUAAAACCCUGCCUCUCUGUUUGUUUUGGGGGCACCGGCAUGGUCACUCUCUCAAUUAAUUGUUGACUCCUUUCAGCCAAAGCCUCAACAUUUCAUCUGAAAUCCCUCUUCCCAGUGAAGCUGUGCCUGUGCAAAUGUGUCUUUCAAUCCUUGGCCUGGUCUUAUUUCUACUGUCUCUCUGGGUCAAAGAUCCCAUUGUUCCAUGUCACAGUCACUCCUUUCCCUUGGAUAAACAGAGCAAGCUUGUACAGGAGGCCUCUGAGGGUCUUGCCACUUCUCAGAAUAAGAAGGAAAAUGCUGAGCACAGGCUGCCAGCCCCAUCUCUGCCAUUUCCCUUCUCCUUUUCUGGGGUCAUCCUGUCCUCUUUCCUAGUAAGUUCAUCCUCCAGAGUAGGGGUAGAACUUCACUCCCUAAAUCCACCAUCACUGCCACCAUACCCAGUGUGGAUCACUAUCCUUUCCAUUUUAUUACUUUCCGUUUUAUUAUCGUUUCCAUUUUAGAGAUGAAAAAGCAGACGCAGAGGGAUGAAUAACUUGCUCACAAUCCUUCCUCUAGUGAGUAAUGGUAGGUCCAGCUUACUCAGUUGCCUGAUAGGAAUCAGCUUGUCCAGGCUCUGAGCAAGUAGCUGCAGCCCCGCCCUGUGCCCAAGAAGGGUCUGUCACGUGACAGACUGCCAGGCGAAAGUUAGGAGCGGUGCCAGCCCCUCUCCCUGUGGGGCAAUGGGUGGGGACCUCAGGACACCACCUACAUCGGCCUCCAACAACUUGGCUGCCAGCUAUGGUAGAGAAGGAGCUGGCCAGAGCCCAUAGAGGAUCCCCCGCAAGAAAUAUAUCGCCUGUUGACACUUUUAUGACCUAGACCAGCUUACAAAACACAGGCCGGUGCAGAGCUCCGCUUUCCCUGGCCCAGCUUGACAUCACGUGCUCGCCCCGGGGCCGCCACUUGGAGUCAGGAAAGCCCAUAUAUUUCCUUCCUUAGAUAGACCUAGUGGUUCCCGUCAGGUGCAGAAAGCCAAUAAAUCACCAGCGAAGUCUCCGUGUAUCUAUCAGUCAGGAGGCUUGUCAUCUUCCCGGCCUUGAUCCACAUGAAAGCCAGGAGCGGGAGGGGCAGAGCCGCGGACACCUGGAGGGAGCAGGGGCCG
rnacentral:lncRNA from 1 species